ACAGGUAAAUUCAAAUGAAUGGCAUUUGGAUACUUCAUCCGCAGCAGGAGGACGUUCCAAAAUUUUGCACUUUGUUGUAUAUGUACCAUCUGCAAAGGAGUGCCCUCUUUCACUGCAACUUCCUAAUGGAGAGAUCUCUGCAACAAAUGGCUUUAUAUCUCGUGUAUGUUCUCAUUCUCUCCUUUAUUUCCCUUCUUAACUGCUACAGUGAUAAAAUUCUAAUAACCUGCUUUUAGAUGCGGAGAGGUGUCAUUGUCUGGAAUCCAUCUGGUUGUUCAAGUCAUUCUCAGACCAAGGGUAAUGUUAGGCAUGCAAUCCCCUUCAAGGAUCUUGAAAACAUUGUUGAAAUUUUCUUGGGGAAGUUACGGCAGCUUUUUGGUCUUAAGUCUGAAACCCUCUAUGUUGGUUCUUCGGGCUGAAUUAAUCAUCUGGCUAGUGAACAAGGCUUCACGAAAUGGGAAUUGGAUCCGUUGGUCCGGCAUCAUACGUGCUUUAAUCUUCAGUCAUGUGCGACCACACUCGGUUCUCUUUCCAGAUUGGUUCAAUCACUGCCAAGGAUGAUCAUAAAGGAUGAAAUAGGAAAACUGGUCAAUUGCAAUUUCAAUACUUGUCAUUGAUUUUCUUUUUCUCAGGAUGGAUUUGUUUGGGGUUGUGAUGUGCAAACAUUUAAGCUAUCAUAGCUAGUUAUACCAGUUUUUAAUUAUGAGAAGCCUUUUUCUGUGGCUACAUGACUACAUCACACAUUGGAGUUCCAUGGAAUAAUAUUUUGUCCUAUGGUGGCUAUACACAGACACAUCCUCACACGCACAUGUGUACACACAUACUCACAUACGAAGAGGUUAUCGUUCUUUUCAGGUAGAAUACUCUCUUAACGCAACAGAUUUUGCACGAAGAAAUGCUACUCUUGGUGCCUAUGAUGAUUCUGCUGUGCUGUCACGACAAGCAAGAUCGUUGGCGGAAAACGCCUUCUUUCAUCCAUCUAUCAUGUCUGUGAGCUAUUACUCGUUUGAGCAUUGCUUUGCAGUCUACUCGGUUAGUCAUAAUUUUGCUCUUUUACCAGUGUUCAUAAAUGAGAUAAGUGAGUUCUUAAAUUUUUUGAGGGUACACCAGCACAUAAGACAUAACCCAAUUAGAUCAUAACUGGUGCCUUUGCAGCUGAAGGUCUUGCUAUAUGCUUGAUGCAAUCCAGCAUUUCUGACCCAUUCGAAUUAUAGUUGUAUUAGAUAAGAAUUUGUUAAGUUCACCUUAUGUUGGUCAGAAGAAUUGUCCUGCUAUAUACUUAAAUUCAUGGAAGCAUUCUGGUAUCUGACCUUGUACAGUUGGGUUGGAGAAAGCUUGCGAGUUGCUUCAUUGUUUUGGGGUAUCGAGGAAAUCAAGAGUUACUUGUGCUUCGUCCCUUUUCAAGCAUAAUGAUCACUCUCAAACUCAAGGACGUUAUGCUUCUAGCACAAGUCAAUUUAUGUCUUGUUAACAUGCUUUCUUAUUGAGUACUCCAUACGACCCUUAAUGUUUGGCCCAUAGCAAAUUUCACCUUUUUAGGAGCUGGAAAAAAGUUGUGCACAUGAUUUGUCUUUUUAAUACUAACUCUAUAUUUUUUUAGUUGCAUCAUUUGUUUUUUCACAUGUGUUGAGACGAUUUUUUGAACAUUAACAUCUCUUAUUGGGUGUAAGCAAAAAUUAUAAAAAAUUGAUAUUUGAAUCCUCGCAUUGAGAUGAAUCUAGUAAGACCCCACUUGAUUAUGUUUUUUCUUAUAUAAUAAUGCGAAAUAGUUUAACAAACUUGGUUGAUGAAUAGUGCCACAAAAGCAAAUGUUGCAACUAAAAAAGUACGGAGCAUGUGAAUUCAGGGGAGCAAGUUGCUGAUGUCCUGACCAAGAUCCUACCAGUUAAACAACAUCAACACUUGUUAUCCAAGCUUGGAGUUGCACCUAUGUUUCACCCACAAGCUUGAGGGGGAUUAAAGAGAAAUAUAGGGAAAUAUUAAGCUAUUUUUACUCUAAUGAUUAGUUUGUCCUAGUCUUUGAGUCACCAUAUAUACUGUGCUGAUGUCAAUUAUCCUUUAUUCCUUUCUCUGAUUAUUGUACACUGUCAUGACAUUGAAUAACUGUUGUUCUUAUUUGUCUUCUAGUGCCGCUGUAGCUAUAUCUAGAGUAAGAAUGGUAUGUUAAAAGGUUGAGCAAUUAAUCACAAAUUAUCUCCAUUUCUCAUUUCCUAAUCUCUCUCUGAAUUCUUCUUGGUUCAUGAUGUGUAAUGAGAAUUUUGCUCUUUAUGGUACCAGAGCUGGACAUAGUCACUGAAUCACUGAAGAAGAAAAUCUUAAAUUUUCAGCCAAGUUGUUGAACCUGAAAUAAUCAGCAUCCUUCUUGAACAAAAAAGAACAGUGAAAGUUCUAACCUUUCUCUCUCUUCUAUUCCUUCUUCAUUCUCUCUUCUUUUCUCUCAUCUUCUUAACUAUGGCAAAACUAACAUUUGCUGAUAUGCAAAACCCUUUAUUUCAUUACCCAUCUGAUGGAACCACAUCCACUCAGAUAGAAAAACUACAAGGAUCAGAUGAUUACAGAUCCUGGCGUAGGCAAAUGGAAAUCAUCCUCACAUCCAAGAAAAAACUUGGCUUUGUGACUAGAAUAGUUGUAAGAUCAACUGAAGAUGCAACCAUGGGAGAACAGUAGGACUCAUGCAACAAUAUGUUGGACAAGAUCAGACAACUAAGGAUACGUUAUGGUAUCGAGAUCUCACAAAUCAAACCAAACGGAAAAUGGAUGAAGUUCAGAAGCAAUAAUAUCUUCUUAAUGAACUCAAUACUUUUUACUUAGCAAUAAAUGUUCUUUUAUAAAUCUGUGAUGUUCAUAUGGGACAUAUUGUAUUAUUUUGGUUUUAUUUUUGCCUUUUGAGUGCAUAGCAUUUUGGAUUUACCAUCUUUUGUAAUUAUUGUUUUUUGAAUAUUUAUAUAACUAUUCAUUUGGGAUGUUCAUUAUAAAUAUU